UCCAUUUCAGCUGCACCAACUACAGCCAAUGCCACAGCCACAGUCCCGUCCAAAGCCACAACCAACACUCACAUCACCUUGAUUGUCUCUGUGAUCCUCACCUGCUUGGUCAUAGUUGGCUGGUAACAGAAGAUGCUGCUGCUCAGAAGCUCCUGAGAGUGUGAUCUAGUUCAACAUCUGUCCCUUCUGGUUGGCUGCCUUUCCAGCUCCAGCUGUUUACGUGUUGACCUGCAGGAGCUGCAGUCCUCGCAGCAAAUGCAGAGACCUCGAGAGGAUUGUGAGGAUGCAGCAGAUGCAAUAUUCCUGUCCUGUAUUCAAUGGGGAAUAUGUCAACUCUGCACUUUUUCCCACAUUUGGUUCCAUUUUUUCUUGGUGGAAUUGUUGGGCUCUUGCACUUAGUCUUCUCACUGCUUGCACAAGAAGUCUCACCAAAGAGAUGAUUUUCCGUGUUCCCUUUGGUUGUGGAAAUGAGGUGGAUCUGCAUCGGGACCUUGUUCUUGCAAAUGGUGCUGAUAGUGAAACACCCGUGAAAACUCAGAACCUCAGGGAUUCUUUGUAUGUCCUGGUCGAACCUCACCAGGUUUUACAAGGAAAAAUGAUAUUUAUGAUAGUUACUUUUAGGAACUUUCCCCUAUGUAAUGCUAUUUAACUGUAUAUCUCUCUAUAAAAUAUUACUAUAAAAUAUACUUACUUAGGAAUUGUGUUUGAUACACACAGAAUUUUA